CUGUUCAGAUAGCCAUGCACGUCUAAGUACAAACUAAAUGAUGGUGAAACUGCAAAUGGCUCAUUACAACGGUUAUGAUGUACCCGGGAGUUCCGAUGGAUAUUUCCAGUAACACUAGAACUAAUACAUGUCCCUGCGUUUAUUAGUUUCGCACAGUCCGUCGCUGAGUCAUGGUAAACAGUUGAUCGACUCGACGUCCCGGAACAGUUUCCGCCCCAUCAGCUUCGAUGGUUGGGUAUUGACCUACCAUUGCAACAACGGGUAACGAGGAAUUAGGGUUUGAUUUCGGAGAGGGAGCCUGAGAAACGGCUACCACAUCUACGGAUGGCAGCAGGCGCGCAAAUUACCCAAUGCAGACACUGUGAGGUAGUGACGAGAAAUAAUAAAGCGGGACUUCUGUUUCGCUAUUAUAAUGAGGAAUAACCAAAGGUCAUUCCGAUUAGCAACUGAUGGGAAAGUCUGGUGCCAGCAGCCGCGGUAAUACCAGCGUCAGUAGCAUA
rnacentral:rRNA from 1 species